rnacentral:lncRNA from 1 species
UGUGCCCUUUGGCACGUCGUACCCGAGGAUUUUGCAGGACUUCAUGGCCUCCCGUGGAAUAAGCAGCGGGGCCGGUGGAUGCAACCUUAGUGUCUCCUUGAUGACGAGUCUGAGGUAUUUUAGGUCCGCCAAGUCAUCCUCGGUCAUUGUGUGCUUUUCUCUAAGGCAAUCGCGUACUUCGGCCUGUGAUUUCUACAUCAUGUUUGGGUACCUCAUGAGCUCCGGCAUGGCCCAUUGAAGUGCCGUUGCUGACGUCUCACUCCCGGUACUAAAGAGGUCCUACAAUAAUAAUACCAAUGUGUGCAAUUUAUAGAACAGGUAAAUUACCAAUUGAAGAGUCGAUGAUUUUCACCCGAUGUCUUAUUGACAUGUGGACCCUAGAACUAGAACCACAUGCUAGCAAGAGAUUGAGUCGCCAUCCUAAGUUUUCAACGAAGGAAUCAUGGAAGGUAAAUAUUGAGUUCAAAGUCACGCGGAAAUGAAAAGAUAGGCUAUGAUUGCUGCUUCUCGCAAGUUAACCCUAUAGUAGGAACUGAAAGUGGCUGGGGAGCUGUUGCCCUCACCAGGAUACUUGCUUUGAUGAUUCCCAUGGUGAGAGGCACCUCGAGGCCACCUUCCUUCUGUAUCCUCAAGAGCACGUCCACCAGGUCCUCUCCAUCCCCCACGGCCCUCUUUUCCUCGUGUUGUUUGAUGGCAUACUCCAUGAGCUCGAAGCUCUUCCGGUGGACCUCCUCGGCCAUCCGCACCGUGCCGCUUAUGAAGUUGGCAAGCCACGACGAAGGGAACAGGUCGUUGAGGAUGGACCCGGUGACGAGCUUGACCCCCUCCUGGAGGACCUGCAAGAACUCCUCCCUCCUCUGAAACAUGUCCCCGAUCAUGGUGCGCACGGCGGAGUCGGUGAUGAGCACGGAGAUCCGCUCGUUGAUGUUCACGAGCUGGCGAAUUGGUGGAUCGGCCAGGGGGGAGGGAAGGUCCGUUGCGGUGAGCCAGAUCCACCGCGUCGCGGCUUGGCGGUGAAGGAGAAAGGCAAGGCAGGGGGAGGGAGACCCACGGCCGCCACGGUCAGCCGGAUCUGACGCGAGGGAGGUCAAGUCACUGGCCAGAUCCGUUGGAGGUGCACCAUGCUGGAUCCGUGAGGCCACGGGGUGGUGGCGCUAGGUGGUGGCCGGGCGGGCUGCGGGGGCGAGNNNNNNNNNNNNNNNNNNNNNNNNNNNNNNNNNNNNNNNNNNNNNNNNNNNNNNNNNNNNNNNNNNNNNNNNNNNNNNNNNNNNNNNNNNNNNNNNNNNNNNNNNNNNNNNNNNNNNNNNNNNNNNNNNNNNNNNNNNNNNNNNNNNNNNNNNNNNNNNNNNNNNNNNNNNNNNNNNNNNNNNNNNNNNNNNNNNNNNNNNNNNNNNNNNNNNNNNNNNNNNNNNNNNNNNNNNNNNNNNNNNNNNNNNNNNNNNNNNNNNNNNNNNNNNNNNNNNNNNNNNNNNNNNNNNNNNNNNNNNNNNNNNNNNNNNNNNNNNNNNNNNNNNNNNNNNNNNNNNNNNNNNNNNNNNNNNNNNNNNNNNNNNNNNNNNNNNNNNNNNNNNNNNNNNNNNNNNNNNNNNNNGGUGCAGGGGAGGGAGGUGGGGUGGCGGCACGGUGGAGGGAGGUGGGGCGGCGGCACGAUGGAGGGAGGUGGUUUUGCGGCACGAUGGAGGGGAGGUGGGGCGGGGUGGGGUGGGCGCGGCCCCGGUUGAAGGGAGGAGGUGGAGGGAGUGGGGGAGGGGAGAGGUCGUGGGUACAGGCAGUGUUCUCGGGUUGCUAUGCGGUCCGGGCAAAGGGAUCGAGUAGUACAAAAGUGUUAGCAGAAUAAGCCUAGUGUUAGCAGAAUAAGACUCUUAGGGGGUGUUAUUAGAGUAGACCUACCCUACAUAUAUAAAAAUAAUUUGAUAGUAAACUUGCAAUGGUAUUUCUGAUGAUGUAAUUAACAUUACAUCAUAAGUCUUGACAUUCGACAAUGUUAGAGAUAAAGGACCGGUAUAUGAGAAUUUGUGACCACAAACUAUUAAAGUGCAAAUCAAACUGGCGACACAUGGACGAUGGAGUGCAGGUACAAGUCGUUCUUCCUCUGGACGGUGAUGCCCAUGUCCUCCACCAUGUUGACCUCACCUGGCUUCAACCCUGCCGGGAGCUCCCAGUCGAAGUGGUAGAGAAGUGCAGCGAGAACGAUCUCCAUGCUGGCCUAUUCAAACAUCAUACCAGGACACAUCCUUCUCCCCGCCCCAAACGGUAUGUACUCAAAGUCCGUGCCUUUGAAGUCGACGAUGCUAGACUCGAACCUCUCUGGCUUAAAUUCCUCAGGGUUAUCCCAGUGCUUAGGGUCCCUACCGAUCGCCCAUGCAUUCACAAGCACGUUUGUGCCCUUUGGCACAUCGUACCCGAGGAUUUUGCAGGACUUCAUGGCCUCCCGUGGAAUAAGCAGCGGGGCCUGUGGAUGCAACCUUAGUGUCUCCUUGAUGACGAGUCUGAGGUAUUUUAGGUCCGCCAAGUCAUCCUCAGUCACUGUGUGCUUUUCUCUAAGGCAAUCGCGUACUUCGGCCUGUGCUUUUUGCAUCAUGUUUGGGUACCUCAUGAGCUCCGACAUGGCCCAUUGAAGUGUCGUUGCUGACGUCUCACUCCCGGCACUAAAGAGGUCCUACAAUAAUAAUACCAAUGUGUGCAAUUUAUAGAACAGGUAAAUUACCAAUUGAAAAGUCGAUGAUUUUCACCCGAUGUCUUAUUGACAUGUGGACCCUAGAACUAGAACCACAUGCUAGCAAGAGAUCAAGUCGCCAUCCUAAGUUUUCAACGAAGGAAUCAUGGAAGGUAAAUCUUGAGUUCAAAGUCACGCGGAAAUGAAAAGAUAGGCUAUGAUUGCUGCUUCUCGCAAGUUGACCCUAUAGUAGGAACUGAAAGUGGCUGGGGAGCUGUUGCCCUCACCAGGAUACUUGCUUUGAUGAUUCCCAUGGUGAGAGGCACCUCGAGGCCACCUUCCUUCUGUAUCCUCAAGAGCACGUCCACCAGGUCCUCUCCAUCCCCCACGGCCCUCUUUUCCUCGUGUUGUUUGAUGGCAUACUCCAUGAGCUCGAAGCUCUUCCGGUGGACCUCCUCGGCCAUCCGCACUGUGCCGCUUAUGAAGUUGGCAAGCCACGACGAAGGGAACAGGUCGUUGAGGAUGGACCCGGUGACGAGCUUGACCCCCUCCUGGAGGACCUGCAAGAACUCCUCCCUCCUCUGAAACCUGUCCCCGAUCAUGGUGCGCACGGCGGAGUCGGUGAUGAGCACGGCGAUCCGCUCGUUGGUGUUCACGAGCUGGCCGGGCGGCGUGGCCGCGAUGGCGGCCACGAGGCGGCCGACCUCUGAAGGAAAUAUGCCCUAGAGGCAAUAAUAAAGUUAUUAUUUAUUUCCUUAUAUCAUGAUAAAUAUUUAUUAUUCAUGCUAGAAUUUUAUUAACCGGAAACAUAAUACAUGUGUGAAUACAUAGACAAACAUAGUGUCACUAGUAUGCCUCUACUUGACUAGCUCGUUAAUCAAAGAUGGUUAAGUUUCCUAACCAUAGACAUGAGAUGUCAUUUGAUUAACGGGAUCACAUCAUUAGAAGAAUGAUGUGAUUGACUUGACCCAUUCCGUUAGCUUAGCACUUGAUCGUUUAGUAUGUUGCUAUUGCUUUCUUCAUAACUUAUACAUGUUCCUAUGACUAUGAGAUUAUGCAACUCCUGUUUACCGGAGGAACACUUUGUGUGCUACCAAACGUCACAACGUAACUGGGUGAUUAUAAAGGAGCUCUACAGGUGUCUCUGAAGGUACAUGUUGGGUUGGCGUAUUUCGAGAUUAGGAUUUGUCACUGAUUGUCGGAGAGGUAUCUCUGGGCCCUGUCGGUAAUGCACAUCACUAUAAGCCUUGCAAGCAAUGUGGCUAAUGAUUUAGUUACGGAAUGAUGCAUUACGUAACGAGUAAAGAGACUUGCCAGUAACGAGAUUGAACUAGGUAUUGAGAUACCGACGAUUGAAUCUUGGGCAAGUAACAUACCGAUGACAAAGGGAACAACGUAUGUUGUUAUGCGGUUUGACCGAUAAAGAUCUUUGUAGAAUAUGUAGGAGCCAAUAUGAGCAUCCAGGUUCCGCUAUUGGUUAUUGACCGUAAACGUGUCUCGGUCAUGUCUACAUAGUUCUCGAACCCGUAGGGUCCGCACGCUUAAGGUUUCGAUGACAGUUAUAUUAUGAGUUUAUGAGUUUUGAUGUACCGAAGGAGUUCGGAGUCCCGGAUGAGAACGGGCACAUGACGAGGAGUCUCGAAAUAGUCGAGACGUAAAGAUCGAUAUAUUAGACGACUAUAUUCGGACUUCGGAAAGGUUCCAAGUGAUUCGGGUAUUUUCGGGGGUACCAGGGAGUUACGGGAAUAUGAGGAAGAAGCAAUGGGCCUCAUGGGCCAAGUGGUAGAAGAGAGGCGGCAGGGCGCGCGGCCCCCCUAGCCCAAACCGAAUUGGACUAGGGGGCCGGCCCCCCUUUCCUCCUUUUCCUCCCUCUCCUUCCUUCUCCUUCUCUUUCCCUUCCUUCCCCUCUCCUAGUUGGACUAGGAAAGGAGGGAGUCCUACUCCCGGAGUAGGACUCCUCCUUGGCGCGCCCUCCCUUGGUUGGCCGCCCCCUCCCCCUUGCUCCUUUAUAUACGGGGGCAGGGGGCACCCCAUGACACACAAGUUGAUCUUCGUGAUCAUUCCUUAGCCGUGUGCGGUGCCCCCCUCCACCAUAUUCCACCUUGGUCAUAUCGUUGCGGUGCUUAGGCGAAGCCCUGCGUGGGUAGAACAUCAUCAUCGUCACCACGCCGUCGUGCUGACGAAACUCAUUCCCGACACCCUGCUGGAUCGGAGUCCGGGGAUCGUCAUCGAGUUGAACAUGUGCUGAACUCGGAGGUGCCGUACGUUCGGUACUUGGAUCGGUCGGAUCGUGAAGACGUACGACUACAUCAACCGCGUUGUCAUAACGCUUCCGCUUUUGGUCUACGAGGGUACGUGGACAACACUCUCCCCUCUGGUUGCUAUGCAUCACCAUGAUCUUGCGUGUGCGUAGGAAUUUUUUUGAAAUUACUAUGUUCCCCAACAGUGGCAUCCGAGCCUGGUUUUAUGCGUAGAUGUUAUAUGCACGAGUAGAACACAAGUGAGUUGUGGGCGAUACAAGUCAUACUGCUUACCAGCAUGUCAUACUUUGGUUCAGCGGUAUUGUUGGAUGAAGCGGCCCGGACCGACAUUACGCGUACGCUUACGCGAGACUAGUUUUACCGCCGUGCUUUGCACACAGGUGACUAGCGGGUGUCUAUUUCUCCAACUUUAGUUGAACCGAAUGUGGCUACGCUCGGUCCUUGCGAAGGUUAAAACAGCACUAACUUGACGAACUAUCGUUGUGGUUUUGAUGCAUAGGUAAGAACGGUUUUUGCUCAGCCAGUAGCAGCCACGUAAAAUUUGCAACAACAAAGUAGAGGACAUCUAACUUGUUUUUGCAGGGCAUGUUGUGAUGUGAUAUGGUCAAGACGUGAUGCUAUAUUUUAUUGUAUGAGAUGAUCAUGUUUUGUAACUGAAGUUAUCGGCAACUGGCAGGAGCCAUAUGGUUGUCGCUUUAUUGUAUGAAAUGUAAAUGCCCUGUAAUUGCUUUACUUUAUCACUGAGCGGUAGCGAUAGUCGUAGAAGCAAUAGAUGGCGUAACGACAACGAUCAUACGAUGGAGAUCAAAGUGUCGCGCCGGUGACGAUGGUGAUCACGACGGUGCUUCGGAGAUGGAGAUCACAAGCACAAGAUGAUGAUGACCAUAUCAUAUCACUUAUAUUGAUUGCAUGUGAUGUUUAUCCUCUAUGCAUCUUAUCUUGCUUUGAUUGACCAUAGCAUUUUAAGAUGAUCUCUCACUAAUUAUCAAGAAGUGUUCUCCCUGAGUAUGCACCGUUGCGAAAGUUCUUCGUGCUGAGACACCAUGUGAUGAUCGGGUGUGAUAGGCUCUACGUUCAAAUACAACGGGUGCAAAACAGUUGCACACACGGAAUACUCAGGUUAAACUUGACGAGCCUAGUAUAUACAAAUAUGGCCUCGGAACACAGAGACCGAAAGGUCGAGCGUGAAUCAUAUAGUAGAUAUGAUCAACAUAGUGAUGUUCACCAUUUAAAACUACUCCAUCUCACGUGAUGAUCGGACAUGGUUUAGUUGAUUUGGAUCACAUGAUCACUUAGAUGACUAGAGAGAUGUCUGUCUAAGUGGGAGUUCUUAAGUAAUAUGAUUAAUUGAACUUAAAUUUAUCAUGAACUUAGUCCUGAUAGUAUUUUGCAAAUUAUGUUGUAGAUCAAUAGCUUGCGUUGUUGCUUUCAUAUCUUUAUUUUGAUAUGUUCCUAGAGAGAAUUGUGUUGAAAGAUGUUAGUAGCAAUGAUGCGGAUUGGAUCCGUGAUCUGAGGUUUAUCCUCAUUGCGGCACAAAAAAAUUAUGUCCUUAAUGCACCGCUAGGUGACAGACCUACUGCAGGAGCAGAUGCAGAUGUUAUGAACGUUUAGCUAGCUCUAUAUGAUGACUACUUGAUAGUUUUGUGCACCAUGCUUUAUGGCUUAGAACCGGGACUACAAAAAUGUUUUUCAAACGUCACGGAAUAUAUGAGAUGUUCCAUGAGAUGAAAUUGAUAUUUCAGACUCAUGCCCGUGUCAUGAGGUAUGAGACCUCUGACAAAUACUUUGCCUAAAAGAUGGAGGAGAAUUGCUCAACUAGUGAGCAAGUGCUUAGAUUGUCUGAGUACUACAAUCGCUUGAAUCAAGUGGGAGUUAAUCUUCUAGAUAAGAUAGUGAUUGAGAGAGUUCUUUAGUCACCAUCACCAAGUUAGUAGAACUUCAUGAUGAACUAUAUUAUGCGAGGGAUGACGAAAACGAUUCUCGAGCUCUUCGUGAUGCUGAAAUCGACGAUGGUAGAAAUCAAGAAAGAACAUCAAGUGUUGAUGAUUGACAAGAUCACUAGUUUCAAGAAAAGGGCAAAGGGAAAGAAAGGGAAACUUCAAGUAGAAUGGCAAUCAAGUUGUCACUCCCACGAACAAGCCCAAAGCCGAACCAAAGCCUGAAACUGAGUGAUUAUACUGCAAAGGAAAUGAUCACUAGAAGCGGAAAUUCCCUGAAUGUUUGGUGGAUAACAAGGAUGGCAAACUGAACAAGGGUAUAUUUGAUAUACAGGUUAUUGAUGUGUACCUUACUAGUGUUUAUAGUAACCCCUGAGUAUUUGAUACUUGUUCGGUUGCUAAGAUUAGUAACUCGAAACAGGAGUUAUAGAAUAAACAGAGACUAGUUGAAGGUGAAGUGACGAUGUGUAUUGGAAGUGGUUCCAAGAUUGAUAUGAUCAUCAUCGCACACUCCCUAUACCUUCGGGAUUAGUGUUAAACCUAAAUAAAUGUUAUUUGGUGUUUGCGUUGAACAUGAAUCUGAUUUGAUCAUGUUUAUUGCAAUACGGUUAUUCAUUUAAAGUCAAAGAAUAAUUGUUGUUCUGUUUACAUGAAUAAAACCUUCGAUGGUCAUACAUCCAAUGAAAAAAGUUUGUUGGAUCUCGAUCGUAGUGAUACACAUAUUCAUAAUAUUGAUGCCAAAAGAUGCAAAAUUAAUAAUGAUAGUGCAACUUAUUUGUGGCACUGCCGUUCGGGUCAUAUCGGUGUAAAGCGCAUGAAGAAACUCCAUAAAGAUGAAUUUUCAUAAUCACUUGGCUGUGAAUCAUUUGAUGCUUGCGAACCGUGCCUUUUGGGAAAGAUGACUAAAACUCCGUUCUCCGAAACAAUGGAACGAGCUACUGACUUAUUGGAAAUAAUACAUACCGAUGUAUGCGAUCCAAUGAGUGUUAAGGCUCGUGGCAUGUAUCGUUAUUUUCUGAUCUUCACAGAUGAUUUGAGCAGAUAUGGGUAUAUCUACUUGAUGAAACAUAAGUCUGAGACAUUUGAAAAGUUCAAAGAAUUUCAGAGUGAAGUGGAAAAUCAUCGUAACAAGAAAAAUAAAGUUUCUACGAUCUGAUCAUGGAGACGAAUAUUUGAGUUACGAGUUUGGUCUUCAUUUGAAACAAUGUGAAAUAGUUUCGCAACUCACGCCACCUGGAACACCACAAUGUAAUGGUGUGUCCGAACAUCGUAAUCGUACUUUACUAGAUAUGGUGCGAUCUAUGAUGUCUCUUAUCGGUUUACCACUAUCGUUUUGGGGUUAUGCAUUAGAGACAGCUGCAUUCACGUUUAAUAGGGCACCAUCUAAAUCCGUUGAGAUGACACCGUAUGAACUAUGGUUUAGCAGUAAACCUAAGCUGUCAUUUCUUAAAUUUUGGAGUUGUGAUGCUUAUAUGAAAAAGGUUUUCAACCUGAUAAGCUCGAACCCAAAUCGGAGAAAUGCAUCUUCAUAGAAUACCCAAAGGAAAUUUUUGGGUACACCUUCUAUCACAGAUCCGAAGGCAAAACAUUUGUUGCUAAGAAUGGAUCCUUUCUAGAGAAGGAGUUUCUCUCGAAAGAAGUGAGUGGGAGGAAAGUAGAACUUGAUGAGGUAAUUGUACCUUCUCCCAAAUUGGAAAGUAGUUCAUCACAGAAAUCAGUUCCUGUGAUUCCUACACCAAUUAGAGAGGAAGCUAAUGAUGAUGAUCAUGAAACUUCAGAUCAAGUUACUACAAAACCUUGUAGGUCUUCCAAAGUACAGUCUGCACCAGAGUGGUACGAUAAUCUUGUUCUGGAGUCAUGUUACUAGACCAUAAUGAACCUACAAACUAUGAGGAAGCAAUGAUGAGCCCAGAUUCUCCGAAAUGGCUUGAGGCCAUGAAAUCUGAGAUGGGAUCCAUGUAUGAGAACAAAGUGUGGACUUUGGUGGAGUUGCCCGAUGAUCGGCAAGCCAUAUUGUAUAAAUGGAUCUUCAAGAGGAAGACAGAUGCUGAUAGUAGUGUUACUAUCUACAAAGCUCGACUUGUCGCAAAAGGUUUUUGACAAGUUCAAGGUGUUGACUACAAUGAGAUUUUCUCAACUGUAGCGAUGCUUAAGUCUGUCUGAAUCAUGUUAGCAAUUGCCACAUUUUAUGAAAUCUGGCAAAUGAAUGUCAAAACUGCAUUCCUUAAUAGUUUUCUUAAAGAAGAGUUGUAUAUGAUGCAACCAGAAGGUUUUGUCAAUCCUAAAGGUGCUAACAAAAUGUGCAAGCUCCAGCAAUCCAUCUAUGGACUGGUGCAAGCAUCCCGGAGUUGGAAUAUACACUUUGAGAAGUUGAUCAAAGCAUAUAGUUUUAUACAGACUUGCGGCGAAGCAUGUAUUUACAAGAAAGUGAGUGGGAGCACUACAACAUUUCUGAUAAGUAUAUGUGAAUGACAUAUUGUUGAUCGGAAAUAAUGUAGAAUUAUUCUGCAAAGCAUAAAGGAGUGACUAAAAGGAGUUUUUUCAAAGAAAGAGCUCGGUAAACCUACUUACACAUUGAGCAUCAAGAUAGAUCAAGACGCUUGAUAAGAUUUUUCAAUGAGUACAUACCUUGAUAAAUUUUUGAAAUAGUUCAAAAUGGAACAAUCAAAGAAGGAGUUCUUGCCUGUGUUGCAAGGUGUGAAGUUGAGUAAGACUCAAGACCCGACCAUGGCAGAAAAUAGAAAGAGAAUGAAAAGUCAUUCCAUAUGCCUCAGUCAUAGGUUCUAUAAAGUAUGCUAUGCUGUGAACCAGACAUAUUGUAUACCUUGCUCUGAGUUUGGCAAAGGAAUACAAUUUUGAUCUAAUAGUAGAUCACUGGACAGCGGUCAAGAAUAUCCUUAGUGAGGACUAAGGAAAUAUUUCUCGAUUAUGGAGGUGAUAAAAGAGCCCGUCGUAAAGAGUUACAUCGGUGCAAGCUUUCACACCGAUCCAGAUGACUCUAAGUCUCAAUCUGGAUACAUAUUGAAAGUGGGAGCAAUUAGCUAGAGUAGCUCCGUGUAGAGCAUUGUAGAUAUAAAAUAUUUGCAAAAUACAUACGGCUCUGAAUGUGACAGACCCGUUGACUAAAUUUCUCUCACGAACAAAACAUGAUCAUACCUUUGUACUCUUUAGGUAUUAAUCACAUAGCGAUGUGAGCUAGAUUAUUGACUCUAGUAAACCCUUCGAGUGUUGAUCACAUGACGAUGUGAACUAUGGGUAUUUAAUCACAUACAGAUGUGAAUAUUGGUGUUAAAUCACAUGGCGAUGUGAACUAGAUUAUUGACUCUAGUGCAAGUGGGAGACUGAAGGAAAUAUGCCCUAGAGGCAAUAAUAAAGUUAUUAUUUAUUUCCUUAUAUCAUGAUAAAUGUUUAUUAUUCAUGCUAGAAUUGUAUUAACCGGAAACAUAAUACAUGUGUGAAUACAUAGACAAAUAUAGUGUCACUAGUAUGCCUCUACUUAAUUAGCUUGUUAAUCAAAGAUGGUUAAGUUUCCUAACCAUAGACAUGAGUUGUCAUUUGAUUAACGAGAUCACAUCAUUAGAAGAAUGAUGUGAUUGACUUGACCCAUUCCGUUAGCUUAGCACUUGAUCAUUUAAUAUGUUGCUAUUGCUUUCUUCAUAACUUAUACAUGUUCCUUUGACUAUGAGAUUAUGCAACUCCCGUUUACCGGAGGAACACUUUGUGUGCUACCAAACGUCACAACAUAACUGGGUGAUUAUAAAGGAGCUCUACAGGUGUCUCUGAAGGUACAUAUUGGGUUGGCGUAUUUCGAGAUUAGGAUUUGUCACUGAUUGUCGGAGAGGUAUCUCUGGGCCCUCUCGGUAAUGCACAUCACUAUAAGCCUUGCAAGCAAUGUGGCUAAUGAUUUAGUUAUGGAAUGAUGCAUUACGUAACGAGUAAAGAGACUUGCCAGUAACGAGAUUGAACUAGGUAUUGAGAUACCGAUGAUCAAAUCUCGGGCAAGUAACAUACCAAUGACAAAGCGAACAACGUAUGUUGUUAUGCGGUUUGACCGAUAAAGAUCUUCAUAGAAUAUGUAGGAGUCAAUAUGAGCAUCCAGGUUCCGCUAUUGGUUAUUGACCGUAAACGUGUCUCGGUCAUGUCUACAUAGUUCUCGAACCCGUAGGGUCCGCACGCUUAAGGUUUCGAUGACAGUUAUAUUAUGAAUUUAUGAGUUUUGAUGUACCGAAGGAGUUCGGAGUCCCAGAUAAGAUCGGGGACAUGACGAGGAGUCUCGAAAUGGUCGAGACGUAAAGAUCGAUAUAUUGGACGACUAUAUUCGGACUUCGGAAAGGUUUCGAGUGAUUCGGGUAUUUUCGGGGGUACCGGGGAGUUACGGGAAUACGAGGAAGAAGCAAUGGGCCUCAUGGGCCAAGUGGUGGAAGAGAGGAGGCAUGGCGCGCGGCCCCCCUAGCCCAAACCGAAUUGGACUAGGGGGCCGGCCCCCCUUUCCUCCUUUUCCUCCCUCUCCUUCCUUCUCCUUCUCUUUCCGUUCCUUCCCCUUUCCUAGUUGGACUAGGAAAGGAGGGAGUCCUAUUCCCGGUGGGAGUAGGACACCUCCUUGGCGCGCCCUCCCUUGGUCGGCCGCCCCCUCCCCCUUGCUCCUUUAUAUACUGGGCAGGGGGCACCCCGUGACACACAAGUUGAUCUUCAUGAUCGUUUCUUAGCCGUGUGCGGUGCCCCCCUCCACCAUAUUCCACCUCGGUCAUAUCGUUGCGGUGCUUAGGUGAAGCCCUGCGUCGGUAGAACAUCAUCAUCGUCACCACGCCGUCGUGCUGACGGAACUCAUCCCCGACACCCUGCUGGAUCGGAGUCCAGCGAUCGUCAUCGAGCUGAACGUGUGCUGAACUCGGAGGUGCCGUACGUUCGGUACUUGGAUCGGUCGGAUCGUGAAGACGUACGACUACAUCAACCGUGUUGUCAUAGCGCUUCCGCUUUCGGUCUACGAGGGUACAUGGACAACAUUCUCCCUUCUCGUUGCUAUGCAUCACCAUGAUCUUGCGUGUGCGUAGGAAUUUUUUUGAAAUUACUACGUUCCUCAACAACCUCGUCCACCUGGAUCUGGCGGGACGACUGCACGCGGCGCGCGCUGAGCAGCUCCAGGAUGCAUAUCUUUCGGAGCUGCCACCACAGGGCGCCGUAUUGGCCGAAGACGAGCCCUUGCCCGUCCGACAUCAUGAUCUUGAUGGUCGGGUUCAGCCGGCUCGCCAGGGCGACGUCGUGCGUCUUCAUGACCUCACGCGCGGCCUCCGGGGAUGAGGCGACGACGAUGGAGACCUUGCCGAGCUUGAGGUACAUGAGCGGCGCGUCCAGCCGGCGCGUGAGGUCGGCCAUGACGCGGUGCGCGAGCGGGCUGCUCGCGAGGUGGUGCAGGUUGCCGAUGACCGACAGCCGCCAUGGGCCGGGCGGCAGACACACGGCACCGCCACGCUUCCUGCUCAGCUUCAGGAGCAGGAGCGGGAGGAGUGGAGCCAGGAGGAGGCAGAGGUAGUAAGAGCAACUCCAACGGGGCGACCCAUUUCAUCCGCCCGCAUCCGUUUGGGUCGACGCGGACAAAGGUGGCGGCCCAACACGCUGACCCAAACUCAAAUCGUGUCCGCCUGGCGUCCGGGUCGACCCAUUCCGGCCCAAAAUUGCGUCUAGAAUGCGUCGGCGCGGAUGCAAAGCGGACGCGCCGCGCCUCUCCUUGCCGCCCGCCACGUUCCCACCUGGCGGCCACCCAACCACCACUGGUCGUCUUAUUUAUGACAACCACCGACAGUGGAAACGUCCUUUUUAACCACGCGUGCAGCGGGGUCGGCCUCAUCCACUUCUCCCGUCCACAUCUACCCCCCAUCACUCCCUUUGCUUCCUCGCCGGCGACCGCAAACCCUAGCGCGCCCAUGGGCCUCUUCGGCAGCAGCAAUGGCAAGGGCAAGGUCAAGGGCACCCCCGGCGCCUCGUCAUCCUGUGCUCCCCCUCCCCCUCCACCGCCGGCGCGUUUCCACCCUGAACACCGACGCCUGCACAUCCCGGUGCACCAAGCGCGGUGGCACUGGGAGUACAGGCAGCCCCUCCCCUACCCCGACGUGACGCUGCCGCACCAUUGGUAUUUGGAUUCCCAGCGGAUCCCGGUGCCGGCGGUUCCGCGGACCCAGCGGGCGCAUGACGACGAGGUGCGCCGGCGCCGCGCGCAGCUCACGCCGGAGCAGCGUCGGUUGCCCGAGUACGCCACCGACUCUCCCAACUGGGAGGCUUGGUUCGCCCUCGAACACGAGGAGCAACGGCGCUCGGGUGUCGACGUCGGCCCGCCGCCAUUCCCACCGCCACCCCCGCAGGUAGAGCCGGAGGACAUGGAGGCGGAGGCGGAGUACCAAGCCUCCCUCGAGGAGGCCCUGCAGCAUGCGCUGGAGGCUAGCCGCAUCGAGGAGGAUGCGCACUGGGAUGGGCUGGAGCAAGCCCUUGCCCUGUCGGUGGCGGGGGACUCCGUCCACACCCCGCUCUUCGUGCCGCCACCUCCACCGUCGCCGUCCGUCCAGCCCAAGCCGGAGCCGUCGUGUAAGCGCUCCCCGCCUCCACCCACUUGGCCGGAGGAGGCCUACUCGUGGACGGGUCAGUAUCGCGAGUGGGUGAGCGCGCCUCCCGUCCACUUCACCGCGAUGCCGGAGGAGGAGGCGGCCCACCCCGAGCGAUGGAAGGAGCACUGGCUCCGCCAGGAGUAGGCCGACGGCGAGGAGCAGAUGCGCUACGAGGCCAUGCUCCAACGCGACUCGGAGGCGCUCCGGCUCGAGGAGGAGGAGGAGGAGCGCGCGUGGCUUGCCGCAAUGCCGCCGCCCCAGCAGACGUUGGAGGAGGCUGCCCUGGCAGCGUACCAGGCGGCGUUCGGGUGGGCUGGCCCUACUCCGGUCUUCAUCGACCUCACCAACGACGGCGCGGACGCCGGCAAGGGCAAGAGAAAGGCCGACGACGUCUAGGGCAGCAUGUCGGGCGGCAGCAGGCGGGCGCAGACUUUUUUUAACGUUUUAUUUAAUGUUUAUUAGGUUUAGGUGGACUUUGGCCGGCGUUUGACCGGCCACUUUAUGUUUAAUUAUGUUUAUUUAUGUUUAUUUCGUGCAACUUGUUUUUUUUUCACGGCGACACAUUUGGGUCGGCCUCCCCGUUGGGCGGUCAAUCCGACCCAUUUUAAAAUGCGGACGCGCACGUCCGCCUGACCGACCCAAACGGAUAAAAAGCAGACAAAGCGUGCGUCCGUUUGGAUCGCCCCGUUGGAGUUGCUCUAAGUAGCUUGCACCAUGACGGGCAGUGUGAGUGUGUGUGACCACCGCGCACUGUUGUACGUAUAAAUCGCGUUUAACAACAAAAACUGCGGAGAGCUGCGAAAGCAUCUGUUGUUUCGAGUUGAGCCCUCAUGUGUUCCUAAGCAGGCUAUGUAUUUGGGUGGUGUCGCGUUUUGGGUGGAAAGGAAUAAGCUACAGUGUCCUCCAGUCUAAUCCCUGCCCACAGCCUUACAAAACAGUAACGGAGGAACUAAUAAGCACGAGCAACUACGAGGAUGAGAUCGGUUGACUGAUAAUUGACCGAGAAGUAAGCUAAAUCUCAGUGGACCGUGACUGAGAAAGAAGCUACUCGUACUACUGAAAAAUAAUAGGGUUUCUGAUUGUGUAACCUUAGUCAAGUUACAUCAUGAUUCUUGAGCUAAACCUCAGUGGACUGUGACUGAGAAAUAAGCUAAUGAGAUAAUAGGAUUUUCGAUGAAGUGACCGAAGUCAAGUGGCAUCAUGAUCCUUGAGCGCCGGUCAAAUUACAUCAUCCACCUGGUACCGAGCCAGCAUAACUUGGCAUUUGGAAGUUAGACCUUUUUAUAGGACUCUCUUUCAGUUUCAAAAAGAGAACAUUUGAAACUUUUAACAUGCAUAAUCAUGAGUCAACAAGUGAUUCGAACUGUGUGUAAAAAAAGUAUUUUUUUUUUUCAAAAUGGUAGAACUAUAUAAGGAAGUUUUCUAUAACCUUGAGAAAAAGGAUAAAAAGGUAGUUUUGUUUUAGUUUAUGACUCCCAUCAAGAGCGGGAAAUCCUUGAUUUGGGAUUGGACAUAGAACCUAGAUCCAUCCUUAAUGGCAUGUGUUGUACACCCGUAGCUCACGAUGCCGGCGAACAAUCGUCGGUCCACGGUGCCGGCCGCGACAGUGAGCACCCACGAGAUGCCGUUGUGUAGUGUAGCGAACCCGCCGUCGUUCCCGGCUGACGCGGACACAAAGAUGCCGUGCUCCAUGGCAGCAAAGGAGGCAAUGACCAUAGGAUCCGUGUACAGCGGCUCAUUGUCGAAGUCGAGGGAGAUGGUGGGAGAUGGAGACGACGUCGACGCCCAGAGGCGGAGCUAUGUGUAUUGCCGAGGGGGCUAUGGCCCCCCGGCCUAGGAUAAAUUUCUGAAGUCUUCUUUUUCUAGGGACAUAGUUAGAAGAAAAUUUUCUCAUUACCCCCCACAAACAAGCAUACUUUACCUUUUGCCCCCCCCCCUAACAUCAACCAUAUGACCCUGUAUGCGGCGACAUGGGCACGUGGAGCAGUUCCACGUGCCGUCCCGCACUUGUACCCGAAGAAGGACGCGCACGACACAGGGCUUCCCGCGGCGGUGGACGCCGUGUGCGGGCCGUGGCCGUCGUCGUCGCGCAUCGAGUUCAUGGAGAUGGUGUCGUUGGGUUCAUGGCCAUGUAGCUUAGUUGAAGUAGCUAGCUUUGAUGAGCUUCCGGUUGCACGUGGUGGCGGGGAACGCGACGCCGUACACGCACGCCCCGCGCCAUCGUGACGGCACGGAAGGCAUCCCAUCGUCCUGGAAGCUGUUGCUCUUGGGCCAAACGCCGCUGUCGACCACGCCAAUGAUUAGGCUCUCGCCAAGGUUCGCGGCCGGCCACAGCCCAAUGCCAGGGUAGAGGUUGAGGACAGGGCCGGUCCUGACAUUUUGGUGGCCCGAGGCGAAAUUAGAAACCAGGGCCUCUAAAUAUAAACAUGGCGAUGAUACAAUUUCAACUUUGUAGAGCUUUUCUCAACAUAACAUUUGUGCAAGUUUGGAAAUUUUGCUUGAAGAACAUAGUACAGACAAAAUAUAAAUUUACAGUAGGAAUCACUGACAUUUUUCUAUACAAAUCGUUUGGGACUACGCUCCAUUCGUUUGCAACAUUAGAAUUGGCCUCUUUUUUCUUACUUUACCACAGUCCUAAUUAGUCCAACAAAAUUAACAACCAAUUUUUGCCUGAGAGUUAAUUAUAUAGCGUAUUGGGAUGUUCCAUAUUUUGUUAACGACUUCGCAAAAAAUUGAAAGUAAUUUUACAUUGCAAGAACCCAUCAAAAGGUUAGCUAGGCAGAGGGAAAAAGAAAAAUUCUACUAAACUUGCCUUGUAUCAAGAAUUUUACAUGGUAUCUGUAUACCUGUAUCUGUAUGUGGCAGAUCGAUGUAGUAUUCAUUCCCAUACCCAGCUCCGAGGAUCGAAGGCGACACUCAAGGGCGACCAACGAUUUCAUCUAGUGUGUCAGGAACAGGAACAGACCACAAGUUAAAGCUAUCAUCACGGCAGGAUAGAGAUCUUUCUCACCGUGGUUAUCGGUCGGCAGAUCGAAGACGCCGUAGACCUGCAGGAAGCAGCGCGGCGUACUGUUCCGGCUCGCCGGAGGGUGCUUUGGAGUCGGCGUACGCCGGUACCCACAUAUUUCGGGGGCGAUGGUGCGAUACCUAACCCGUGCAGCAACAAUCGAGAAAAAUUCAGGAGACGACGACGCACACAGGAGAUCGUGGAAUCAACCUCGCAGUCACAGGCGGAGAUCGUGGAGACCUCCUCGUCGGCCCGUAAGGAGUUUGGGCGCCCACGUGCUUCCUUCGAGGGCUGCAUUGUACGAAGCCCACUCGUUCUUUCUAGAUUCUUUCGUUGUGUUCGUUGGCUCGUGCGUGUACGCUCGUUGGUUCCAGCUAUUUCGCCGAUUCUAAAAAAAAGCUAUUUUGCUGGCUCGUGCGUGUACUCUCGUUGGUUACCUAGCUAUUUAGCUGGUUCGUGCUUGUUCGCUCGUUCUUUUCGCUGUUUCUUUCCGUUCGCUCGUAGUCAUAGCAGUAAAGUUUGGUUUUGGCUGGUUGAGGAUUUUUUUGGUGUGUAGUUUUUUUUGUUGAUCUUAUUAAUUAUUACUUUUUUGUUUGAAUAAUAAUCAACAAAUAAGCUUAGAAUUAUUAAAAAGAUUAAAGAAAUAAUUUUCAACAUGGAUUGGAUACUAAAAUCUCCACAAAUGUUAAAUUGAGAAUAAGAAGAAGAAAAUUCGAUUUUUUUUGAAAAAAAACAUGAAUUAAAAAAUGUACAUGAAUUUCCAAAAAAGUUCGCAAAUUUUCAAACAAAUCAUAAAAUUUGAAAAAGUUCAUUGAAUUUGAAAAAAAUCAUCCAUUUUUAAAAAAGUUCAUCGGUUUUGAAAAAAUGCUCAUCAGUUUCGAAAAGUUCAUCGGAUUUGACAAAAGUUUUUUGAAUUCGAAAAAAGUUCGUCAGAUUUAAAAAUAGUUCACAAAUUUGAAAAAGUUCAUCAAUUCUAAGAAAAGUUAAUCAAAUUUGAGCACACAAUUGAAAAAAGUUUAUUGGAUUUGAAAAAAAGUUCAUCGGAUUUGAAGAAAGUUCACCGACUUUGAAAAAAAGUUUGCCAAAUUUAAAAAAAGUUCAUCGGAUUGGAAAAAAGUUCAUCGAAAUUGGAAAAAAGUUCACUGAAUUCGAAAAAAGUUCAUUGAAUUUGAAAAAAGUUUGCAGAAUUUGAAGAAAGCUCAUCGAUUAUAGAAAAGUUCAUUGAAUUUGUAAACAAAAAGUUCAUCCAUUUUUCAGUGAAAAAACAUGAAAAAUAAAAUUUCUUGAAUUUGAAAAAAGAAAAUUUGGAAAAAGGAAAAAAGGAAAGAUAAAUGAAGAAAGGAUACAAAUAGAUGUAAAUUACCAUGGCAGGCUAGGUGGCGCAGCGAUUGUUGCAACUUCUCACGAAGCGGGAGGCCGCGGGUUCGAUUCUAUCUCGGGCGCCCUGUUUUGCGUUAUACAAACAUANNNNNNNNNNNNNNNNNNNNNNNNNNNNNNNNNNNNNNNNNNNNNNNNNNNNNNNNNNNNNNNNNNNNNNNNNNNNNNNNNNNNNNNNNNNNNNNNNNNNNNNNNNNNNNNNNNNNNNNNNNNNNNNNNNNNNNNNNNNNNNNNNNNNNNNNNNNNNNNNNNNNNNNNNNNNNNNNNNNNNNNNNNNNNNNNNNNNNNNNNNNNNNNNNNNNNNNAUCGGGCGCAAUAUGCGCCAAAUAGGAUUUGGCGAGAUUCUGUGCUAGGCCUUAAUGCAGAUCGCAGGUAGAUGCAACAUCAUCUUUAUGAUGCCUUUUCUUUUCGUGGUUUUCUAAAUUGUUGUGUAUUAUCCUGCCUCGGAGCUUGUAAAAGUGUAGCUAAUUCAUCACUUUUAUUUGGUCAGUAUAGUUCCUAAAAUAGGCGGCAAGAUUCAUUAUAUUCUCUCUCUCUUUCGACCGUACACACACUGGCAGUGCAAAGAAAUCAGUAGACGUGGCAUUGGAGGAUGCGGGCGCCCCUAUGUCUUGUUUAUAGCGAGACCUAGGGAACCAUUGCAUCAAACAGUGCACGAGAUAGGUCGGCCUAGGCGCAGGAGACCACGGCCUCAUUUUUUUCAUGUUUUUUGUGUUUUUUCUUCUUCUUUAACUCUGGUUUAUAUUUUCAAAUAUUAUAAAUAAAUAUAUUACAAAAAAUUACAUAAAACAACUUCAAAGAAAUAUAUCAACUAAGCAUUUGAAAAUUUUCAAAUUGUGUAUGGAGAAAAUGUUUCUCAUGUAUACAAAAAAUAUACAAUGCGUAUGAAAAUGGUUGAUCAUGUUUCUUAAAAAAUGUUAAUCAGGCAUAUAAUAAAAUGUUAAUCCAAGCAUUUAGAAAAAUGUUAAAUAGCUAUUUGAAAAGUGUUAAUUAAGCAUUUGAAAAUUGUUGACCAUGUAUUUAAAAAUGUUGAAAUAUAUUUUUAACAAUGUUAAUCAAGCAUUUGAAAUAUUUUGUUAAAUAUGUAUAGAAAUAAAGUUGACCAUGUAUUAAAAAAUGUUAAUAUGAUAUUUGAAAAAUCUUAAUCAAGCAUUUGGAAAAUGUUAAAUUUUAUAGAAAAAAUGUUGAUCAUGUAUGAAAAAAUGUUAAACUUCUAUUUGGAAUGAUUUAAUUAAUAUUUUAAAAAUAAAAGUUAAAUGUGUAUAGAAAAAUAGGUUGACUGUGUACUAAAAAUGUUAAUUUUCUAUUGGAAAAAUGUUAAAUAUUUAUAGAAAAUUAUCGGCCGUGUAUUUAAUAAAUAUUGAACUUGUAUUUGAAAAAUGUUAAACAUUUAUUACAAAUUAUAUAAUAUAUUUUAUCAAAGUCUGUUAGAAAAACAUUGAAACCCUAAGCGAAAUAAAAGAAAAUUGAUGAAAAAACAAUGAAAAGAAAAGAAAAAUAAAGAAAAGGAAAAGCCAAUGAAAACCGAGAAACAAACAAAGAAAACCAAAGAAAAAAUGAUUUUUUUUGUAAAAACAGAGAAAGAAACGAAGAAAAUCUAGUGAAAAACAACAAAAAAACAAAAACACAAAAACCCAGAAAACCAAUGAAAAGGGGGAUCUUUCCUUCAAGUUUGUCUCGACCUUUUGUCCUUCGUUUUUGUGUGAGCAAGCCCAAUAGGGUUGGGCUUUGUGUUGUCUGUCUUUUCUCUAUCGUUUAAAUCUUUAGUCGCUCUAGUAUGAUGGGAUGUAUAAAUUGAUUGUGAUAUUUUUAAAAUAAUAUAAUUAAAUACUCCCCCAUUCACAAAUGUAAAAGGUUCUAACAUUUUUGUUAGAUGUAUAUUGGCACGCUUAGAGUGUUAAUUCUUUCAUUUCAAUUUCCUAUGAAGUCUAUAUUAAAAUAUCCAAAAACAUCCUAUAUUUGUGAACGAGGGAGUAUACAACUGCAUCUGUCCAACGUAGACCCUUCAUACGGACACCAUAUCUCUCCGCGGACCGGUCUGGGAAGGUGUCUGGACACCGAUGAUAUGAGAGUCGGUCAUCCAAAGCUAGCCACAAACGCCAGGUCACAUCUCAAAUGGAAUUCAACCAAAACAAAGAAAUUUGAUGCAAGUUUAAACAAAUUGGAUGGCUUCCAUUCAAACUUAAAAUUAUUCAUCUAAACCGAAGCAAAUUCAUUGCAUUUUGACAUAUUUCCAUAAAGAUGGUCUAGGUUAUUCUAACCUAGUAUAAAUGAUCACCGGCCGCGGCGACAACCGUUUCCCACGACAUGGUCAGGAGGAAGCUCACGAGCCCUAGGAUGUGAAACUUUGGGAGGGAGGGAAUAAUAGCCUCCGCUUCGGCGAAGCGGGCAAGCUCACCAGCUAUGAGGCCUGGUAAGACCCAAGCGGCGGCGGCCUCCCAUGUUCUACUCUUCCUCGCUAUCGGCGGCGGCCUCCCAUGUUCUACUAUUCAUCGCUAUCGACGGCGGCCGUGGACAUGUCGGCUUGGUCAUUUGUGUCACAUUUAAUAUGGAUUAGCGGUUGCAUAAUUUAUAACCAUGCGUGUGCGUGCGUGACAUUUAUGCCAAUUGAAAUACAAUGGAUCAAAUGAAGGCUUUCAAGGUGGCUGCAAUAUAGAUAAAAGUUUCUUUGCAAAUAAAGAGUGAUUCGACAAAAUUAACACUUUGUUUGGCGUCAUGGUGUUGGGAUUUAUGUAUAUAUUGAUAGUAAACUUGCAAUGGUAUUUCUGAUGAUGCAAUUAACAUUACACCAUAAGUCUCGACAUUUGACAGCGUCAGAGACAAAGGACUGGUAUAUGAGAAUUUGUGACCUACUAUUGAAGUAUAAAUCAAACUGGCGAUACAUGGACGACGGAGUGUAGGUACAAGUCAUUCUUCCUCCGGACGGUGAUGCCCAUGUCCUCCACCAUGUCGACCUCACUUGACUUCAGCCCCGCCGGGAGCUCCCAGUCAAAGUGGUAGAGAAGUGCAGCGAGAACAAUCUCCAUGCUGGCCUGUGCAAAUGUCAUACCAGGACACAUCCUUCUCCCUGCCCCAAACGGUAUGUACUCGAAGUCCGUGCCUUUGAAGUCGACGAUGCCAGACUCGAACCUCUCUGGCUUAAAUUCCUCGGGGUUGUCCCAGUGCUUAGGGUCCCUACCAAUCGCCCACGCAUUCACAAGCACGGUUGUGCCCUUUUGCACGUCAUACCCAAGGAUUUUGCAGGACUCCAUGGCCUCCCGUGGAAUAAGCAACGGGGCCGGUGGAUGCAGCCUCAAGGUCUCCUUGAUAACGAGUCUGAGGUAUUUUAGGUCGGCCAAGUCAUCCUCGGUCACCGUGGGCUUUUCUCCAAGGUAACCACGUACUUCGGCUUGCGCUUUCUGCAUCACGUUUGGGUACC